rnacentral:rRNA from 1 species
CUUAAUUUGACUCAACGCGGGGAAACUCACCAGGUCCAGAUACACGUAGGAUUGACAGAUUGAGAGCUCUUUCUUGAUUGUGUAGUUGGUGGUGCAUGGCCGUUCUUAGUUGGUGGAGUGAUUUGUCUGCUUAAUUGCGAUAACGAACGAGACCUUCAUCGUUAACUAGCCCGGCUCGCCUUGGCGGGUCGCCGGCUUCUUAGCGAGACUUUUGGCUUAAGCCAAAGGAAGUUGGAGGCAAUAA